CGGAUUACACAAAAACAAGAAACGAAGGUAUUUACGAUCACCUGGUAUAUUUACAUAAUCCUUGUCUUUGGAACUGCGUUGAAAACUGCGGAAUACCCAAGGUUAUUUGAAAGAAAGUAACUAUAUCAGGUACAAUUGACACAAUUGGGGUUCUCAAGGACAAACGAUUUUGAGGCUCGGUCAAACUCUAACGUAGACAUAGAAGUAAGGAUAAAUGUAAGGAUUACAUAAAAAUAUAAUGGUACGGGCUCUCUAGGAGAAUCCGUGCUCUGGUAUGUGUUCUGAUACCCUGGCCAAAGGAAUACCUAUGUAACUUGAUAGGGAACCAGUUUAUGAUAGGGGACCAGUCUAGCCUGAGGUCUGCGAGGUUUACACCCAUCUUUGUGCCGACUAUUGGAGCAGAGUGCGGCAAUUGGAAAAUAUCUUAGUUCAAUCACAUAGACUACGGGAGAAGUGCAAACUGCAAAUUGUUUGAAAGGAUUUGGCCUUCAUUUAUCUGUUUGCUUUCUCGAAGAAUUAUCAUUGUUUUCGAAUAUGCGUAAAAAAAUUAACCUUGGAAAUGGCGAAGCAACAGCAUAUCUUAUGCUGUUGGUAUUUCUUGGUUGGUUGUUCCUUGUUGUUUUUGUGGUAGCCUGCGUCAGAAAGAGGUGGUUAAACAAAUGUUGCAAAUGUAUAAAAGGGUUGACACAAAAGCAAAUGGCUAGCAAUGAAAACAGUCAAGUAUCCGAAAACGAUCUAAGAAAUCUGGCAAAAUAUCCUAUUUAUACUCUUGGUGAAAACGGAGGCGUUCUUGUCGCGUCUCUCGACGAAACAGUUUUAAAUGGAAGAAACUCUUUAGAUGGUUUAUCAAGGAAUGAACAACCUGAUUGUAGUAAAUAUAGUGAAGAACACAUUUCUGUCGUACCAAACACUACAUACACACUCAUGACGAACGAUCUAUCAUCAAUCACAGAAACUUCAUAUAUUAGCUCUGAAAGACUUUAAUUUCAGAGUCUACAGUUACGUUUGAUAUGAUCGAAAAGACUGCACAGUUAUUUUCUACAGACGUUGUUUGAAAAUGAUACAAAGGUAAAAGACUCUAUUAUUAUAUCCCAGCCAAAUAUAGUUGUCGAAUACAGGAGCAGUUGAUGAUUCACUUACCUGUCUACUGCUUGAAUAAAAAAGGAACAUUGAGCUUGGAACAGUUUUAUGGAAAUUACAUCUUUAAAAUCUACUUUGUACAAAGUUAAGCUGUUAUUUGCUUGAUAUACAUAAAUUUUUUCCGACAUGCAGUGGAGUUAAACAAUAAAGGGGUCAUUGAAACGUUAAACAUAACUCCAAAAGAAAGGAAUUUACCUAAUAAUAUACCAUGAAACUCGUUUUUAAAAAUGAUUGCAUACACGUAUAAGUAGCUUUCUUUUUUGUGUUGUAUUAAGAUAAACAUUUGAUUUUUUGGCUCCGAUCAACAAAAGGUCCCUGAAACCCCAGUAUUAAAAUAGAAAAAUUUUUUUUCAACUGCAUUGUAGUUAUCUAUUAUCAGUUCUGAGAGACCUUUUUGCAAAUAAGUUUAAUAUUCCACCUUAUGACAUUUUUGCUACUAUACAACUCCCCCAAUAUAUAAUUACUUAAAUCUUUUGAUUCAUAUGCAAGUAAAAUCAUGGGAUUGAAUAAAAACUAAGAAAAAUCUACUGUAUAGUUUAUUGAUAUCAUCUAUACUACUAUAUUAAAAUAAAAGACUCGAUUUUUGGGGCUUUAAU